AUAUAAGAAAACAAAAUGGGGAAUGGCAUAACGAAGCUUCACCUUUGCUUCCAACACCAUAGAAGAAAUGGGUAUGCAGGGCACAGGAUGGACAACAAGGGACAAGGAUAAAAUCCAUAGGGAGGACAUUACAGAAAGAUGUAAACAUGUGUGCACCACUGCAAUUAUGUCUUAUGUUGUACCCUUCGAGAGGUAAGAAACCCAAAAACUGCAUUAGAGAAUCUGGUAAUAGAAGAACCCGUGAAGAAAGCAAUGGCCCACAAAAGACCUAUUCUUUCCCUCCCGCUUAUCAAUGUGUAUUGUAU
rnacentral:misc_RNA from 1 species